rnacentral:lncRNA from 1 species
GGGCGGUCCAGCCUGCCAGCCUGGAAUGACUCUCAGGCCAGGGUCGGAUUAGCCAUAUCCACACCCUUUCCAACCCAAAGAGGCAGUUGGAGCCCUAGCUGUCCCUCAGUUAUCUGCAUCACACCAUAAAUCUAGGUUGUCCCUGGAAGGUUAUUUAUCCAUUGUGAGCAGAGCUUUCUAACAAUGAGAGUGCCAUCGAUGGACUGGCUGUCUGCUGAGAAAUGAAGGAGAAAAAAAGAAAAGACUUGCCUAGACAAACAAAAGCUGAGGGAGUUCAUCACAACUAGAACUGCCUUACAAGAAAUGCUACAGGAAGCUCUUUGAGUUGAAAUGAAAGGAUGCGAAGUAGCAACAUGAACACAUGUGAAAGUAUAAAACUUACUGGUAAAGGCAGCCACGUGGCCGGUUAUGAAGCGAUGACAGGGAACUUGGGCAGGAGGUGAAGAGAAGAAGAGAAUAGGAGGCCCGACUGUGGGUUCAACCCCACCAACAUCCACUGCAGCCCUCUGUGUUCCAGGCACCAGACCAGGCACCGUGGAUGAGAGAGAUGGAGUAGACUCGGUCCCGACCCUCAGCGAUCUCCCGGCCUGACAGUGGGGACAACUCAGGGCAUGUGUAGAAGAGGAGCCAG